rnacentral:rRNA from 1 species
GAUGAACGCUGGCGGCGUGCCUAAUACAUGCAAGUCGAGCGAACGGACUAGAAGCUUGCUUCUCUGAUGUUAGCGGCGGACGGGUGAGUAACACGUGGGUAACCUACCUAUAAGACUGGGAUAACUUCGGGAAACCGUAGCUAAUACCGGAUAAUAGUUUUAACCGCAUGGUUCAAAAGUGAAAGACGGUCUUGCUGUCACAUCUAGAUGGAUCCGCUCUGCAUUAGCUAGUUGGUAAGGUAACGGCUUACCAAGGCAACGAUGCAUAGCCGACCUGAGAGGGUGAUCGGCCACACUGGAACGGAGACACGGUCCAGCCUCCUACGGGAGGCAGCAGUAGGGAACCUUCCGCAAUGGGGGAAAGCCUGACGGAGCAACGCCGCGUGAGUGAUGAAGGUCUUCGGAUCGUAAAACUCUGUUAUUAGGGAAGAACAUAUGUGUAAGUAACUGUGCACAUCUUGACGGUACCUAAUCAGAAAGCCACGGCUAACUACGUG